rnacentral:rRNA from 1 species
GAUGAACGCUAGCUACAGGCUUAACACAUGCAAGUCGAGGGACCGGCGCACGGGUGAGUAACACGUAUCCAACCUGCCCUUUACUCGGGGAUAGCCUUUCGAAAGAAAGAUUAAUACCCGAUAUAAAGGAUGGGGAUGCGUUCCAUUAGGUUGUUGGUGAGGUAACGGCUCACCAAGCCUUCGAUGGAUAGGGGUUCUGAGAGGAAGGUCCCCCAGAUUGGAGAUGAGACCCGGACCAAACUCGUACGCGAGGCAGAAGUGAGGAAUAUUGGUCAAUGGGCGCUAGCCUGACCCAGCCAAGUAGAGUGAAGGAUGAAUGCUUAUGGGUGGUAAACUUCUUUUAUAUAAGAAUCUGUAUUAUAUGAAUAAGGAUCGGCUAACUCCGUGCCAGCCGCCGCGGUAAUUC